UGGGUCUCCACUACCCAGUCACUGAC
rnacentral:piRNA from 1 species